rnacentral:rRNA from 1 species
ACCGCAUGGUUCAAAAGUGAAAGACGGUCUUGCUGUCACUUAUAGAUGGAUCCGCGCCGCAUUAGCUAGUUGGUAAGGUAACGGCUUACCAAGGCAACGAUGCAUAGCCGACCUGAGAGGGUGAUCGGCCACACUGGAACUGAGACACGGUCCAGACUCCUACGGGAGGCAGCAGUAGGGAAUCUUCCGCAAUGGGCGAAAGCCUGACGGAGCAACGCCGCGUGAGUGAUGAAGGGUUUCGGCUCGUAAAACUCUGUUAUUAGGGAAGAACAAAUGUGUAAGUAACUGUGCACAUCUUGACGGUACCUAAUCAGAAAGCCACGGCUAACUACGUGCCAGCAGCCGCGGUAAUACGUAGGUGGCAAGCGUUAUCCGGAAUUAUUGGGCGUAAAGCGCGCGUAGGCGGUUUCUUAAGUCUGAUGUGAAAGCCCACGGCUCAACCGUGGAGGGUCAUUGGAAACUGGGAAACUUGAGUGCAGAAGAGGAAAGUGGAAUUCCAUGUGUAGCGGUGAAAUGCGCAGAGAUAUGGAGGAACACCAGUGGCGAAGGCGACUUUCUGGUCUGUAACUGACGCUGAUGUGCGAAAGCGUGGGGAUCAAACAGGAUUAGAUACCCUGGUAGUCCACGCC